rnacentral:rRNA from 1 species
UAGGGAAUCUUCGGCAAUGGGGGCAACCCUGACCGAGCAACGCCGCGUGAGUGAAGAAGGUUUUCGGAUCGUAAAGCUCUGUUGUAAGAGAAGAACGAGUGUGAGAGUGGAAAGUUCACGCUGUGACGGUAUCUUACCAGAAAGGGACGGCUAACUACGUGCCAGCAGCCGCGGUAAUACGUAGGUCCCGAGCGUUAUCCGGAUUUAUUGGGCGUAAAGCGAGCGCAGGCGGUUAGAUAAGUCUGAAGUUAAAGGCUGUGGCUUAACCAUAGUACGCUUUGGAAACUGUUUAACUUGAGUGCAGAAGGGGAGAGUGGAAUUCCAUGUGUAGCGGUGAAAUGCGUAGAUAUAUGGAGGAACACCGGUGGCGAAAGCGGCUCUCUGGUCUGUAACUGACGCUGAGGCUCGAAAGCGUGGGGAGCAAACAGGAUUAGAUACCCUGGUAGUCCACGCCGUAAACGAUGAGUGCUAGGUGUUAGGCCCUUUCCGGGGCUUAGUGCCGCAGCUAACGCAUUAAGCACUCCGCCUGGGGAGUACGACCGCAAGGUUG